GUCUAUGGCCAUGCUACCCUGAACAAGCCAGAUCCCGUCUGAUCUCGGAAGCUAAGCGGGGUUGGGCCUGAUUAGUACUUGGAUGGGAGACCGCCUAGGAAGACCAGGCCCUGUAGGCG
rnacentral:rRNA from 1 species